rnacentral:rRNA from 1 species
UGGGGAAUAUUGGACAAUGGGCGCAAGCCUGAUCCAGCAAUGCCGCGUGAGUGAUGAAGGCCUUAGGGUUGUAAAGCUCUUUUACCCGGGAUGAUAAUGACAGUACCGGGAGAAUAAGCUCCGGCUAACUCCGUGCCAGCAGCCGCGGUAAUACGGAGGGAGCUAGCGUUAUUCGGAAUUACUGGGCGUAAAGCGCACGUAGGCGGCUUUGUAAGUAAGAGGUGAAAGCCCAGAGCUCAACUCUGGAAUUGCCUUUUAGACUGCAUCGCUGGAAUCAUGGAGAGGUCAGUGGAAUUCCGAGUGUAGAGGUGAAAUUCGUAGAUAUUCGGAAGAACACCAGUGGCGAAGGCGGCUGACUGGACAUGUAUUGACGCUGAGGUGCGAAAGCGUGGGGAGCA